UCUGUUUGAGCCGUAAAUGACCGGUUUAGAUAUUCAAGACCAAGAAUUUACCGUGUUCUGUACCCCGCUGAAUCUUGGCUCCGCCACUGGUCGCUUGCACUUGCACUGUUCUAAAAACACAUAAGAUUUUGUAAAUGCUACUAACUAACCAGUUCUCUGUGAUUACUCGCAUGGUUCUAAGCAAAUAAGCGUUCUCAAUGAGAUCGACUAUUAUUUUCCCUAAUUACAUGCACAGGCAGAUCCAAGAUUUUACGUCAAUGUCAAUUACAUCCAUAACUCCUUUAGUAGCUAAGGAUACAAAACUUAACCAAUUCAUGUAUUUUAGAGAAGUGUUCAACAAUAUAUGUGAUGUUUAGGCCAAAGGCCACUGCCACAUGAUCGCUAAGCACAGGUCCAAAACGUAUGAGCUUUCCUAAAAAGGCCAACAGUUAAGUCUGCUUACAGCGUUAUAAUCACUCACCUGUCUAUAAACGUACCAGCUCAUUUAGGAUACCAGUGAUCACAACCCCCAUAGUCCUUACUGCUUGUUAUCUUUACGUUGUUUGGAUAAGAGAAAAGCUUAUAUAGCUACAAGAUAAUCUUACAACUAGUUUAUGGAUUUCAUGAGCUUCAAGGGACUUGAUGGAAAAUAGUAAAGACAUUAGUAGGUUGGUGAUGCAAAUGUAUUCAAGUAUAGAAGACUUAACCAAAAGACAUCAAUCUUUGUUAUAAUUUGGCUAAAAGUUGACAAAACAAAACAUAACAAUUAAUCUGUCAACUUUGAUGGACCCAAUUAGUCUUAAUAUUAACUUACUCUAAAGGGACUAGAAAAGACUUUUGCUCAUUCUCACUCCAGACAUAAGGUAUCCGAAAAAGAACGAACUUAGAUUGAUGUAGACUCGUGGUCUAUACACAAAAAAGAAGAAUGAAGAGCCAAUUCCUGUAUAUUCAUCAAUUCAAUGACAACUUGCAAAUUUUAUAAGGUGCUAAUUGAAUAACCCUCUCUCCUAGGCAUAAAUGAGAAUGGUCCUACUCCUAUCAACAAUAAAUAGGGGCUUUAAAAGGUACUUUACAUAUACCGAUUGCUUUCUGGGGUUGGAUAUAGUAGUCCUUAUUAUGGACUAUAAUAAGGAGAAAAGGGACCAGCACAUAUUCAUAUUUUUCAAGGCUGAGGUUAACAUCAUAGGUGUGGGGAUGGUUACCUUAAUGAGAAAUUUUCUCCGUGAAACAGAUGGCGUCAUGACUAGUUAACUGGGAUUGAAGAUGAAAGCUCCAUUGCUAGAGAAGAUAUGCGAGGCCCGGUGACCGGUGGGGCUGUCGAAUAGAGAUUGAUGUAUUUUCUUGAUAGGACUUCCCAGCUACCUCAUUUAUAUAAUUGUUCCAUGUAUAUCAGAACUUGUGAAGAGGAUCAAUCCAUGCAAGAUACUUGUAGCUCGGAUGUUAAGUGAUAUUGACUACCUGCAUCAAGUUCUCGAAAGUUUAAAAUCAGACUUCUAACUACCAAAAACACGAGCGGAAAAUGAAAAGAAAAAUCUCAGUCACCAUGUAGCUGCCACUUGCAUGUGCUUUGUUAGAUUUGCGGCUG
rnacentral:lncRNA from 1 species